UAAAAUAUUUUUUUUAUUUUUCCAUGCGGAUGAAGCCGCAUAGGAACAGCUAAUAUUAAAAUAAAAUCGAUUAUAGCCCAAUACGAUUUAUAACACCAGUAUCAAAAUUUCAGGUAUUUCAUUAAGAAAAUAUUCUUUUAAGGAAAAAGGAAUGUUUGAGGCCGCAUUUGCUUGAAACUCCAACAUUGAAAGGCUUGUAAUAAGAUAUAAAUGCUCUCAUUGUCGAGUUUAAGUAUCCAUCAUUGCAUAUAUUUAGCAUAACAUCACCGAUAUAAAAGUAUCAUAGUUUAAGCAGUAUUAACGCCUUAAUAGGAUCAAAUGUUAUUAGUGACGUAUUUAAUUUUUUGUUACUUCUGCCUACCUCAUGGUGUGUGAACAAAGUUAUUCAGUUUGUGAGUAAAAUAGGAAAUUGGUGUAGUUUUCAUAUAUCUUGGAUGCUCUAAACUCUAUCAGCCUUAAACGCGGUUAAGUUUAACUUCGGAAUAAACUGAGUAUAAGCAAUAUUUGUACCAAUAUAUGGUUAUUUAUUAUACCGCGUUUAUUUGUAAGGCUGUAUAUGAUUUGCUCUGAACACUUUAGGUAACUCUAGUGUGUCUUGAGCAGCCAAGAUAUUUGAAAUGUGUAGUGGAGAAGCAUUUAGAUUUAAUUGUAAGAAUGUCGCUCAGUAAUAGAUGUCUACCAGGUAUAUUGUCAUUACCUUUAAGAUAUGUGAUAUGUCUAUUACUUGCUGCUUGUUUAAAACAUAUGGAAUUAAACAAAAGCCUAUAAUAUGCCCGUCAUGUCAUCU